UGGGGAAUUUUGGACAAUGGGGGCAACCCUGAUCCAGCCAUGCCGCGUGAGUGAAGAAGGCCUUCGGGUUGUAAAGCUCUUUCGGCGGGGACGAAACGGUUCGUGACAACACCACGGACUAAUGACGGUACUCGCAGAAGAAGCACCGGCUAACUACGUGCCAGCAGCCGCGGUAAUACGUAGGGUGCAGGCGUUAAUCGGAAUUACUGGGCGUAAAGCGUGCGCAGGCGGCUCCUUAAGUCAGAUGUGAAAUCCCCGGGCUUAACCUGGGAACUGCGUUUGAAACUGGGGAGCUAGAGUGUGGAAGAGGGGGGUGGAAUUCCAGGUGUAGCAGUGAAAUGCGUAGAGAUCUGGAGGAACACCGAUGGCGAAGGCAGCCCCCUGGGCUAACACUGACGCUCAUGCACGAAAGCGUGGGGAGCAAACAGGAUUAGAUACCCUGGUAGUCCACGCCCUAAACGAUGUCAACUAGUUGUCGGGGAAGCAAUUCCUUGGUAACGAAGCUAACGCGUGAAGUUGACCGCCUGGGGAGUACGGCCGCAAGGUUA
rnacentral:rRNA from 1 species